rnacentral:rRNA from 1 species
GACGAACGCUGGCGGCGUGCCUAAUACAUGCAAGUCGAGCGAAGUUUUUCUGGUGCUUGCACUAGAAAAACUUAGCGGCGAACGGGUGAGUAACACGUAUAGAACCUGCCUCAUAGACUGGGACAACUAUUGGAAACGAUAGCUAAUACCGGAUAACAGUAUUUCUCGCAUGAGAGAUAUUUAAAAGUUGGUUAUGCUAACACUAUGAGAUGGCUUUGCGGUGCAUUAGCUAGUUGGUGGGGUAAAGGCCCACCAAGGCGACGAUGCAUAGCCGACCUGAGAGGGUGAUCGGCCACACUGGGACUGAGACACGGCCCAGACUCCUACGGGAGGCAGCAGUAGGGAAUCUUCCGCAAUGGGCGAAAGCCUGACGGAGCAACGCCGCGUGAGUGAAGAAGGAUUUCGGUUCGUAAAGCUCUGUUGUUAGGGAAGAAUGGAUAUGUAGUAACUAUACAUGUAAGAGACGGUACCUAACCAGAAAGCCACGGCUAACUACGUG